rnacentral:rRNA from 1 species
UCCCUACGGGGGGCAGCAGUGGGGAAUAUUGCGCAAUGGAGGAAACUCUGACGCAGCAACGCCGCGUGAAGGAUGAAGGCUUUCGGGUUGUAAACUUCUUUGAUCGGGGACGAAAAUGACGGUACCCGAGGAACAAGCCACGGCUAACUACGUGCCAGCAGCCGCGGUAAUACGUAGGUGGCAAGCGUUGUCCGGAAUUACUGGGCGUAAAGGGCGUGUAGGCGGGGAAACAAGUCAGAUGUGAAAUCCCAUGGCUUAACUGUGGAGCUGCAUCUGAAACUGUUUCUCUUGAGUACUGGAGAGGAAAGUGGAAUUCCCAGUGUAGCGGUGAAAUGCGUAGAGAUUGGGAGGAACACCAGUGGCGAAGGCGGCUUUCUGGACAGUAACUGACGCUGAGGCGCGAAAGCGUGGGGAGCAAACAGGAUUAGAUACCCGUGUAGUCG